UUUUUUUGUCUUUUUGUCUAUUUUUUUAUUUAUUUUUCUCUCUCUUUCACUCCAUCAGUAUUUGUAAAAAAAAAAAAAACAAUCGGGCGAAGUUGUUGCUAGCAGAGAGAGAGAGAGAGAGAGAUUAUCAGGUUCAUGGUCAUCUAAUCCACAUGGGUAUUGAUUCUUUUUCUUUUUUUUCUAAAAAAAAAGAAGAAAAAAAGAAAG
rnacentral:ribozyme from 1 species